AAAAAAAAAAAAAAAAAAAAAAAAAAAGUCAUUAUUAAAAAAUAAUAAUGUUCCUUUGUUACAGCUUGUAUCAUAAGUAUAUAUAUAUAUAUGUAUAUACAUAUGUAUAUGUAUGUAUAUGUAUGUAUAUGUAUGGUUCCUGCGAAACAUAUUACCACUGUGUCGAACUCGUUAAUCCUCUUUUCAUAUAAUUUUUUUUUUUUACAAAAAUCGAUGAAAUUAAAACAGCUAUGUUAUAAACAAAUCUUACCUUAUAAUAAUAUAUCAAAUGGUAAUUUAUUUUUUUUUUAAUAUAAAAAAAUAUUCAUCACAUUUAAAUGGUACCAUAUUUAAACGAAAAGUAAAACUAGGAGUAAAUAAAACUACAUAUGAACAAAAUCUGUGUAGACAGUUGAUAAAAAAAAAGUCAUCCUAUGGUGAAACAUCCUAUGGCGAGACAUCACAUGAAGUGUCUCCUGACCAAGUUUUCUCUAACUAUGUAUCUCUUAAUAAAACCUCAGCUGAUAUUAGCGUACCGUUAGAACUAUGUGAUAACAAAAUAAAAAACAACAACAUAUCAGAGUGUUUCACACACGAUGAUAAUUAUAAACCUAAUGAUGAAUUAAUGCAGGAAAGAUUGAAUUUUCAAAAAGUACAAAAUAGUUUCUUACCAGUAAAUUAUUUAAAAACCAAAAACUCACAUUAUAAUAUAGACCCAUGUGCCAAAAUAAAAAAAAUUCAAAUUUAUUACAACUGUGAAAUGUAUGACAUGAAUCGAAAACUUAAAAAAAUAAAAACGUUUUUAUUAAAUAGACAUCCAGUAGAUAUUUUAUUAAUUUAUCAAAUUAAUAAUAGUAAUGAAGAAGAUUUAAAAUCAAAUUAUAAAAAAAAAAGUUUUAAAAAAACAAAUAAUGAAAUUAAAAAUGAUAAUAUUGAAAAUUGUGUUUUUAAGUAUGAUAAACAUUUUAAAGAUAAGCAAAAGAAUAAAAAAAAUUCAAAUGACUCAAUAAAUAAUAAUAAUAAUAAUAAUAAUAAUAAAUUUGUAAGUUUUACAAAUUUGAACAAAUUAACAGACGUUAAAUAUUCUUCACAUAUUUAUGCAAAACUGGGUUUAAUAGUUAAUCACAUAAAUAAAAUUGCAAUCGUUGAUGAUAUAUUUAUCCACAUGAAAAACGAAAACCACAUUAUUUUGAUUAAAAUAUAUCCUAAAUAAUUAGUUGCUUAAUUAUUCGUCUUUUUUUUUUUACCGAUUUUAUAUGCCAAUAGUUCAAGGGUAACAUUAUAAGUGAUCCUUUUUUUUAAACACAAUUACAUUAAACUUUUAAAUCAACGACAAAAAAAAAAAAAAAAAAAAAAAAAAAAAAAUUGUUAAAAAUUAUGUUAAGUUUUAAAAACAAAAAA
rnacentral:lncRNA from 1 species